rnacentral:lncRNA from 1 species
CAGAGCGCCGCCCGAUGCGCGCGCAUCGUCGAUGCUCGCUGAGACAGCAUCGUCAAACAGACGGCGUGCAGACCGGCGCGACGGACGACCGCGUGUCGCGCCCUCGCUCCCAUCGUCGCUGUCGUCAUCGCUAUCCAGAUCUGUCGAUUCAUCUUCUCCGUCGUCGUCAUCAUAAUCAUCAUCAUCCCCAUCGUCCCCAUCGCCAUUGCUGUCGUGAUGGUCGCCAUCGCUAGUGCCGACAUCAGAAUCGCCUAUUGUAUCGUUGUCCGAGCCGGCAGGUGAUGAUGAUAGUGAUGAUGAUGAUGAUGAUGACGACGACGGCAAAGAUCUAGGUGGUAUAUAGGGCGGAGAUGCGCCGAGCCUCACCAGACGACCAAACAAGUGACCACCGUACGCCGCGGUCGCACGACGAUCGACAGUUUGUUGCUGUUGUCGCUGCCGACUAUGCAACAAAAUGCCUCGACGCGACCGUGUCAUCGCCCGUCCUCUGUCGGCGCUGGUUUCGCCUCUGUCGAUCACUCCCUCGUCGUCCUCAUCACUGUCGGCGCUAGAGUCACUCGUGUCGGUGCUGUCGCUUGCGUCGUCGUAAUCACCGCCCGACCCGUCACUGUCACUCUCGUCGUUGCCUCCAUCAUCACCACUAUCGCCACUAUUAUCGCCAUUGUCAGCGCCGUCGCCAUGGCUAUGGUUGUCGGCACUCUCGCUGGCCCGACGACGAACGGCGGCGCGGCGUGUGCCUGGCCCGAGGUGUCGGCCGUGUCGCGACGCCCCCGUGACGACCAACGAGGGCACAUAGACCCGGCGUCCGAUAGCGACCGUCGGCGCGGCGCGCAUACGCGAAUUCCCAUGGCGGUAAGUGCUCACACUGGUCGUGGUCGUCCUGGUGAGCGAGGACCGCCCCGAGAGUGUACGCAUGCCAUGCCGAUCUGCUACAACGGCAAAGUGAGGGGUCGAGACGAAAGGCACUCCACUCUGCCAUCGCAACGCGGCCUCUAGCAUUGCGGCAACCGGAUCGCCGUGCACGUCGCCAUCGCCUCCACGGUUCAUUGCGCGGGCGGCUCCCCGGCCUCGCGCACGCAGCUUGCAGACACAAACACGCAAAAAUGCACACACAGGCGCGCGUGUGCACAAUAAACAAGGCGUCCCUUUGCCCAAAGGCAC